rnacentral:rRNA from 1 species
UACGUAGGGGGCUAGCGUUGUCCGGAUUUAUUGGGCGUAAAGAGCGUGUAGGCGGCCAUGUAGGUCCGUUGUGAAAACUCGAGGCUCAACCUCGAGACGCCGAUGGAAACCAUGUGGCUAGAGUCCGGAAGAGGAGAGUGGAAUUCCUGGUGUAGCGGUGAAAUGCGCAGAUAUCAGGAGGAACACCGGUGGCGAAGGCGGGUCUCUGGGCCGUAACUGACGCUGAGGAGCGAAAGCAUGGGGAGCGAACAGG